rnacentral:misc_RNA from 1 species
UUUCCAUAGGUGAACCUGCGGAGGGAUCAUUACAGAGUUCAUGCCCUACCGGGUAGAUCUCCCACCCUAUGUUAUUAUUACUUUGCUGCUUUGGCGGGCCGUUAAGCUCCGGCCCGACUACCGGCCCCGGCUGGUAAGCGCCCGCCAGAGGACCCAAAACCCUGAAUAUUAGUGUCGUCUGAGUACUAUAUAAUAGUUAAAACUUUCAACAACGGAUCUCUUGGUUCUG